rnacentral:lncRNA from 1 species
UCAUUAAAAAAAAAAAAAAACACCAUACAUCUUCAGUUGUUCAUAUUUGUCGUCGUUCAGCCUCAUGUCAUACAAUGAACUCAAGCACCACACGAAAGCCCCAGGUGCAUUGCGGGAAAGUGGCAAACAGGCCUGCAAGCUCAAGUCCAAACGUCACCAUCCGCAGAACCACCAACAGAGAGCUGGUGGCAAAAGGCAGUUUUGCGGGACUGGACUUGAAAAAGCCACAGCUACAAACAACAACAAACGAAAUCAAGCCCAAACAGGACAAAAACCCACCAGAGAAUACUGUCCUCCCAACAGCAUGGCUGCAGAACAGAUCGCAUAUCAGACAAGCCACACUUAAACAAGAUAGUUUGCCUCCACUGCCAGAAGAGGAGGAUCUAGAAUCGGAGGAAACGCUUGCUCAACAAUGUCUGCAAGAUAACCAACUCCAGUCGAAUCCAGCUACUAAUGGGCCUUCGAACCUACCAGCAGGCUCACAGAUUCCUAAUGGUUAGUGAAAAACUUACUCACACACGUUUUACAAUAAUUCCCACAUUUUAAUAAUAU